CAAUAGCGUAUAUUAACGUUGUUGCAGUUAAAAAGCUCGUAGUUGGAUUUCUGGAGGGAGCGUCGGCCCGUAUUUACGAGUGCGUGACGUCUCUGUCCAUCCUUGCGGGAAGGCACGGCAUCGACUUGUUGUGUCGGAUCGCAUCAUUUACUGUGAAAAAAUUAGAGUGUUCAAAGCAGGCUUUCGCUUGAAUACAUUAGCAUGGAAUAAUAAGAUAGGACUUUGGUGCUAUUUUGUUGGUUGAGCCUAAAGUAAUGAUUAAUAGGGAUAGUUGGGGGCACCUGUAUUGCGUUGUCAGAGGUGAAAUUCUUGGAUUUACGCAAGACAAACAGCUGCGAAAGCGUCUGCCAAGGAUGUUUUCAUUAA
rnacentral:rRNA from 1 species